rnacentral:rRNA from 1 species
AAACCGGAGGAAGGUGGGGAUGACGUCAAAUCAUCAUGCCCCUUAUGACCUGGGCUACACACGUGCUACAAUGGCUGGUACAACGAGUCGCGAGUCGGUGACGGCAAGCUAAUCUCUUAAAGCCAGUCUCAGUUCGGAUUGUAGGCUGCAACUCGCCUACAUGAAGUCGGAAUCGCUAGUAAUCGCGGAUCAGCACGCCGCGGUGAAUACGUUCCCGGGCCUUGUACACACCGCCCGUCACACCACGAGAGUUUGUAACACCCGAAGUCGGUGAGGUAACCAUUUGGAGCCAGCCGCCUAAGGUGGGAUAGAUGAUUGGGGUGAAGUCGUAACAAGGUAGCCGUAUCGGAAGGUGCGGCUGGAUCACCUCCUUUCUAAGGAA